AAAGUUUUUCGCUAAGGGAUCGGCCUAUGUCCUAUCAGGUAGUUGGUGAGGUAAGAGCUCACCAAGCCUAUGACGGGUAGCGGGUCUGAGAGGAUGAUCCGCCACACUGGUACUGAGACACGGACCAGACUCCUACGGGAGGCAGCAGUGGGGAAUAUUGCACAAUGGACGAAAGUCUGAUGCAGCAACGCCGCGUGGAGGAUGACACAUUUCGGUGCGUAAACUCCUUUUAUAUGAGAAGAUAAUGACGGUAUCAUAUGAAUAAGCACCGGCUAACUCCGUGCCAGCAGCCGCGGUAAUACGGAGGGUGCAAGCGUUAUUCGGAAUCACUGGGCGUAAAGGGUGCGUAGGCGGUUUGGAAAGUCAGAUGUGAAAUCCUACAGCUUAACUGUAGAACUGCAUUUGAAACUUCCAGACUAGAAUACUGAAGGGGCAGAUGGAAUUAGUGGUGUAGGGGUAAAAUCCGUAGAUAUCACUAGGAAUACCGAAAGCGAAAGCGAUCUGCUGGGAAGUUAUUGACGCUGAGGCACGAAAGCGUGGGGAGCAAACGGGAUUAGAUACCCCGGUAGUCCACGCCCUAAACGAUGAAUGCUAGUCGUCGGAAAGCUCGUCUUUUCGGUGAUGCAGUUAACACAUUAAGCAUUCCGCCUGGGGAGUACGGUCGCAAGAUUAAAACUCAAAGGAAUAGACGGGGACCCGCACAAGUGGUGGAGCAUGUGGUUUAAUUCGAAGAUACGCGAAGAACCUUACCUAGCCUUGACAUUGAUAGAAUCUGAUAGAGAUAUCGGAGUGCCUGCUUGCAGGAACUUGAAAACAGGUGCUGCACGGCUGUCGUCAGCUCGUGUCGUGAGAUGUUGGGUUAAGUCCCGCAACGAGCGCAACCCUCGUCGUUAGUUGCUAACAGUUCGGCUGAGCACUCUAGCGAGACUGCCUUCGCAAGGAGGAGGAAGGUGAGGACGACGUCAAGUCAUCAUGGCCCUUAUGGCUAGGGCUACACACGUGCUACAAUGGGGCGUACAGAGAGUUGCGAUACCGCGAGGUGGAGCCAAUCUCAUAAAGCGUCUCUCAGUUCGGAUUGUUCUCUGCAACUCGAGAACAUGAAGCUGGAAUCACUAGUAAUCGUAGAUCAGCAAUGCUACGGUGAAUACGUUCCCGGGUCUUGUACUCACCGCCCGUCACACCAUGGGAGUU
rnacentral:rRNA from 1 species